UUCGGGAGAAGGGGGGCCCCACGGUGUGAAGGUUCUUGCGGCUGGAAGCGUUGUGGGGUCGCAGAGAAUAGAGGGAAGCGACUGUUUAUUAAAAACACAGGUCCGUGCGAAGAUGUAAGUCGAUGUAUACGGACUGACGCCUGCCCGGUGCUGGAAGGUUAAGAGGAGUGCUUAGCGGAAACGCGAAGGUAUGAAUUGAAGCCCCAGUAAACGGCGGCCGUAACAAUAACGGUCCUAAGGUAGCGAAAUUCCUUGUCGGGUAAGUUCCGACCUGCACGAAUGGUGUAACGAUCUGGGCACUGUCUCAGCCACGAGCUCGGUGAAAUUGUAGUAUCGGUGAAGAUGCCGAUUACCCGCAAUGGGACGAAAAGACCCUGUGAACCUUUACUAUAACUUCGUAUUGACUUUGAGUAAGCAAUGUGUAGGAUAGGUGGGAGACUUUGAAGCAGGCACGCUAGUGUUUGUGGAGUCGCUGUUGAAAUACCACCCUUUGCUUACUUGGAGCCUAACUUCUUUCAGAAGGACAUUGCGUGGUGGGUAGUUUGACUGGGGUGGUCGCCUCCAAAAGAGUAACGGAGGCUUUCAAAGGUACCCUCAGCACGCUUGGUAACCGUGCGUAGAGUGUAAUGGCAUAAGGGUGCUUGACUGUGAGACCUACAAGUCGAUCAGGUGCGAAAGCAGGACAUAGUGAUCCGGUGGUUCCGUAUGGAAGGGCCAUCGCUCAUAGGAUAAAAGGUACUCCGGGGAUAACAGGCUGAUACCGCCCAAGAGU
rnacentral:rRNA from 1 species